rnacentral:rRNA from 1 species
CCUACGGGAGGCAGCAGUGAGGAAUAUUGGUCAAUGGACGAGAGUCUGAACCAGCCAAGUAGCGUGAAGGAUGACUGCCCUAUGGGUUGUAAACUUCUUUUAUAUGGGAAUAAAAUGUUCCACGUGUGGGCUUUUGUAUGUACCAUAUGAAUAAGGAUACGCUAACUUCGCGCCAGCAGCCGCGGUAAUACGGAGGAUCCGAGCGUUAUCUGGAUUUAUUGGGUUUAAAGGGAGCGUAGGUGGAUUGUUAAGUCAGUUGUGAAAGUUUGCGGCUCAACCGUAAAAUUGCAGUUGAAACUGGCAGUCUUGAGUACAGUAGAGGAGGGCGGAAUUCGUGGUGUAGCGGUGAAAUGCUUAGAUAUCACGAAGAACUCCGAUUGCGAAGGCAGCUCACUGGGCUGCAACUGACACUGAGGCUCGAAAGUGUGGGUAUCAAACAGGAUUAGAUACCCGUGUAGUC